CCUACGGGAGGCUGCAGUGGGGAAUAUUGGGCAAUGGGCGAAAGCCUGACGCAGCAACGCCGCGUGAGGGAAGAAGGCUCUCGGGUUGUAAACUUCUUUUAGCAGGGACGAAGCAAGUGACGGUACCUCAUGAAUAAGCCACGGCUAACUACGUGCCAGCAGCCGCGGUAAUCCGUAGGUGGCAAGCGUUAUACGGGUUUACUGGGAGUAAAGGGCGGGUAGGCGGGAAGGCAAGUCAGAUGUGAAAACAAUGGGCUCAACCUGUGGCCUGCAUUUGAAACUGGUUUGCUUGAGUACUGGAGAGGAAGAUGGAAUUCCUAGUGUAGCGGUGAAAUGCGUAGAUAUUAGGAGGAACACCAGUGGCGAAGGCGAUCUGCUGGACAGCAACUGACGCUGAGGAGCGAAAGCGUGGGGAGCAAACAGGAUUAGAUACCCGGGUAGUC
rnacentral:rRNA from 1 species